rnacentral:lncRNA from 1 species
ACUAAGUCCACCAAACCUCAGUAUUUAUUACUAAGUCCUUCACAGCGCGUGUAAAACACGCGAACACCCCUCCACGUGCGAUUCCACGCGAAACGGUACAUAAAAUAUCGCCACUUUUGCGAAAUUACCGUUUUGCCAUCGCCGACCUCUCAGCGAACUUCUCGUAAUUUCCGGAGAUCCGUCAGUCGGAUUUUCGAUCCGACAGUACCAUUGCGUUCAGCACGUCGGGGGCAUCGAAUCUAGCAUUCGUUUCAUCCGAUUUGACCCCCGAUUCACGACGAAAACCGUCCGCUCUCAAUUUUCAGAAACCACAAACAUAUACCAAUGUGUAAUCUCGCUAAACCUUUAAUUCAAAUUCAAAUUUGGGCUUCCUACCACCAGUAGGUACUAGAAACGUCCUCCACUCAACUCUAGGUCACAUGCACAGAGUACGAAGAGCUUUAAACUGCACGAAUAGCACAGAACAAAAACCCUCUUUUUGAUAAAACUCCUUUUUCUCGAUAACCGUGCAUCAGAAUCCGAUUCUGUCAGCGCCAGUGGUUCCAGUAUAGUCGAGAGGUUCGAAACGAGCUAUUGGAGUCCUAU